AUUGCCAAGUCAUCAGCCGGUUACAUAAUUGUGUCAUUUGAACAUGUAAUGUGGCUGAACAGGUUUACCAAGGUGGAACAUCUGAAAGUUGGCCUCCUAACAUUUCCCCAGGAGAUAUUCAGUUUUCUUACUCUCGAGAAUGUUGGUGCCAGAAAAAAUGAUGCUACAUAUUAUACAGCUGUGAUUGGAAGGCUAAUUCUGUGUCGAAUGUUGUGACGAAAUCAGUUGAAGAAUUCGACAAAUAAAGUGAUGUGCUUAUGAGGGAGAUUAUAAUUGAGAAUGAAAGGGGAACAAUGAAAGUAACCCUAUGAGGGGAUUUGGUUAAUGCUAUCAAGGAUGGGUUGUUGGAGGGUCGUGGGAAUGCACCUGUGGUGAUGAUUUUCAGUGGUACAUAUGUGAAGGAUCAUUGGGGUGUUAUUAGCCUCUGUACUACACCUGCAUACAGAGUAUUCGUGGAUCUUGAUGUUCAGCAAGUGGGUGAUUUCAAGA